GACCUCUACAUAUCUUUGAGAGCCUAUGAUUUGUCUUGUCCUUACAUCUUGGGGCACACCUGCUGCCUCAUGGAUGGGCAAACGUGGGAGUCGAGCUAGGCCACUCGAUCCCACCUUCAGUAUUGACUGUGUCCACUUUGACCAAAGAUCUACUCGAGAAAGUCUCCUAUGAUAAUAGGAACUUCACUCUAUGACGUCACCUCUCAUCCUCUCGAGUCUCCUGUCUCAUGUCCGAUCCACCUCCACCUAGAGCUCCACUCACACUGGGCUCCCCCUAGCUUCUGAAGCUCCAACUCAUAUUGGACUCCCUGCC
rnacentral:lncRNA from 1 species